UAGGGUAAGUGGAAUUGGAGAAUACAGUAUUCCAGCGAUUUUUUCUAUAUCAUUGCAUGCCUGCUGUCAAGGCGUUGUACUACAUAAAAGCCACUCAACACUUAUGGCUGGGGUGAGAAAUUAGCUAGAUCAUUUUCCCACUAAAUCCAAGGUUGGAUAAGGGCACUGCUUAUAGAUAACACUUAAAGUAAAAUAAAUAUAUCGUUUGGCUUGUGGGAAAAAAACACGUAAAUAUUCGCAUUGAUGAAG
rnacentral:lncRNA from 1 species